ACUUCUUGAUAUAAUCCUUUGAUGAAACCCCUGAUAGAAUUCCUAGAUGAAACCCUUGAUAAAACUCUUUUGAUGAAAUCCCUAAUGAAAUCCUUAAUGGCACCUUUGAUGAAACCUCUUGAUGAAACCCUUUUUGGUCAAUUUUAACCCUUCUAGAUGAAACUUGCAUAUGAUUCCCAUGAUCAUCCGAUCAUUUUAUAGGAAUCGGGUAG
rnacentral:lncRNA from 1 species